CUUGAUACGCUUGAUAUAAACGCUGGCGGAUUAUUUUGAUCUGAUACUUCUGAAUCACGAGUAUUAGACUAAGCUGGUACGCAUAUCAAAUGGUAUCAAAGAAUCUUAGCGUGCUGUAAACGCUUGUUUCGUUUUGAAUCGUAAUUAAAAUUCGCCACUGCUUUUAAGUUCAGGUUAAAGUUAGAAUUAGAGGUUUUUUAUAUCUUGAAAAGCAAUGUAGACAUCAUGUCACCUAACCUGGUCCAUUCUGAGAUAGAUCGAUGUAAAUAACGUAUCAAAUAUUUAAUCCGCACCAAUUUGAUACGCGUACUAACCGAUUUAACGGUGUGAAAGAGGGGGCAAACCUUCAAAAAUU